rnacentral:rRNA from 1 species
UACGUAGGGUGCGAGCGUUAAUCGGAAUUACUGGGCGUAAAGCGUGCGCAGGCGGUUUUGUAAGCCAGAUGUGAAAGCCCCGGGCUUAACCUGGGAAUGGCAUUUGGGACUGCAAGGCUGGAGUUUGGCAGAGGAGACUGGAAUUCCUGGUGGUAGCAGUGAAAUGCGUAGAUAAUCUGGAGGAACACCGGUGGCGAAGGCGGCGAUCCUGGACCAAUAUUGACGCUGAGGAGCGAAAGCCAGGGGAGCAAAACGGGGAUUAGAAACCCCGGUGGUAGUCCAAGAACCGAAUGUAC